rnacentral:rRNA from 1 species
AUUGAACGCUGGCGGCAGGCCUAACACAUGCAAGUCGAACGCGUGGCGGACGUGUGAGAAAUGUCUGGGAAACAGCCUGAUGGAGGGGGAUAACUACUGGAACCGGUAUCUAAUACCGAAUACCAUCCGAUUUGCCCAGAUGGGAUUAGCGAGUUGGUGGGGUACCGGCUCACAAAGGCGACGAUCCCGAGCUGGUCUGAGAGGAUGACCAGCCACACUGGAACGGAGACACGGUCCAGAAUCCUACGGGAGGCAGCAGUGGGGAAUAUUGCGCAAUUGGCGCAAGCCUGAUGCAGCCAUGCCGCGUGUAUGAUGAAGGCCUUCGGGUUGUAAAGUACUUUCAGCGGGGAGGCGUUACCCGCAGAAGAAGCACCGGCUAACUCCGUGCCAGCAGCCGCGGUAAUUC